CCACUGUUGUUUCUUCUGAGGACACGGAAAUGGGAGAUGUUGCCGAUAAGGAAGCAGCACACACUGAAGGAGAUGAUGAAGAGGAGUUAGCAAUUGAAGAUAUUGCCCCCAAGGAUAGUGAACUUAUUCAGGU